rnacentral:lncRNA from 1 species
AGAUGGCUCAGAAGUAAGGAAUGCUGCUCCUUCAGGGACCUGAUUGUCAUUGCCAGUCUGAUAUUGAGCUGUUGUCAACCACCUAUAACUCCAGGUCCAGGGAAUCCAUUGCCCUCUCUGGGCACACACAUAUACAUAAUUAAAUCAAUCUCUUUUAAAAAUAAAAUUGUGAUUACCUAACUGGAGAACACAGUUGCCUAUCUCUUCCUUACAUUUGAGUUCAGCAUUUCUCUCCCUCUAACUAGUAUUAAGAGUUUAUUUAAUGUUUGACACAGGUUUCUCUGUUUAACCCUGGCUGUCCUUGAGCUUAGUAAGUAAUGUAAUGUGGUAAUAUUUUGCAUUUAAGACAGUUAGCUGAAAUGGAUUUCCAUAUUCUGAAGGUAAAAGGUCAUCUUUAAAAGAUGAAAAUUAAAUUCUAUAGAUAAUCUGCAUGGUUACUGUAAGGUAGGAACUCUGCUCACACUAAAGAAAGGGCCUAGGCACCAAGACUAUCUGGAAGAUGUGUCCCUUUGUCCUCAAGAGGUACAGGUGCCAGGCAUGGUAGCACUCAUCUGUAGUUCCAGGCCAGCUGGGGCACUCAGCAAAGAGCCAAGAAGAAAAGGAAAACAAACCAAGCACACCGCCACCGAGAAGUCUAGCUGAAAGGGCAGCUGCAGCUCAGUGCGGGUUACCUGCCAGCGUAUCUGAUGCCUAGCUUCACUCUCACACGGGAUGGGAAUGAAGAGUAGGGAGGUAAUAGGCCGUGGUGGCUACAGACACAGACUGCAUCAGACAUCAGACUCCUUACCUGAAUUUCACUUACUCACUUGGACACGAGUGUGGCCUUGAACAGGUUACUCUAACCUUCUGUUUCAGUCUUCUCACCUGUAAAGUAAGGAUAAUAGUAGUUUCUACUUCACAGGAUUAAAAGAAGCUAAUGCAGGGCUGAGGACAUGGCUCAGUAAGUAAGAGUGUUUAGUGUGCAAGCAUGAAGACUGAGUUUGAAUUACCAGCACCCCCAUAAAACGCUGGGCAUGGACAUGCAUGCCUGUAACCCAGCGCUGGGGAGUAGACAGGAGGAUCACUGGGAUUCACUGACUUAUAGCCUAGCUCCAGCUUACAUGACAGACCCUGUUUCAAGGGACAAGGCAGACACUAGCUGGCCCCCAUAUAUAUAUACAGCACACAGGGAGGGAAGGAAGAAGCAGCAGCAAAGCGAAUGUGUGUAAAGAACUGAGGCUGGUGUCUGGCGUAUAAAUACUCAGUAAAUGUUCAAAAUGGAGUAACUUAGCAUGUGUGCUAGGAAAUUAUUCAGAAUUAGCAAAUGACGUGAUGAAUUAGCAUGGUGGCACAAAUCCUUUGAUAGUCUUGAUAAAACAAUUCACUCACGUGCAUAAAUAAAGAAUUAGUUCUUCUAAACACACAUGUAGUGUGGGGCUGAAAAUUAUUUUACUUAUUUUACACAGAUUGACUAUGCUUUACUUAAAAUGCUUAGCACCAGAAGUGUUUCAGCUUUCAGGUUUCUGGCAUUUCGAAUAUUUAUAUUUUCAUUAUAAGAGAUCUUAGGGCCAAAUUGAAGUAGAAACACUGAUUCGUCCGUUUCUUACACUCAGAGCACAGAGAUAAGGUUAUACAGUGUGUUUAGUACACUUGUGUUUUGACCCACCUAUCACACAAGCUUAUAAAGUUCUAGAUUGUUAAGCAUUUCGGACAUUCGCAUUCGGAGUUUUCAGUUUGCUUAUCCUGGCAGCGCAGACCUGUGCUCUUAGCAGUCUGGAGGCAGCGGCAAGAACAUUGGUCACAAGAUCAAGGCCAAGCAGGUCUACAUAAUGAGACUAUCUCAGAAAAGAAAAUAAGAAUGUUGGACUUGUAUGAGCAAAGACUUAGUGUUUGAGAAGAGAGAUUUGUUUAUUACUGCUCCAUAUGUUUUAUACCAUACCCUAAAACCAGUCCACUUAUAAACUGGUCUACAAGCAAUCUGAGAUACUUGCAGAACUUAAUUUAAAAAUAUUUUCUUUCUUUUGAAAACAAGUUACAAAUCAUUGUUUGCAUCUUUUAAUUAAUUUAUCAACUUAAUGUCUGUAGUAUAUU